ensembl:lncRNA
GUUCCACAAACCUGGAGGGGAGGUGGCCAAAGGAUGCUCGGAUGGGCUGGAUGGGGAGCAGCCUCCACCUCCCUACUCCUCCCAUCACCUGCUGGCCACCUCCCUGAGCAGCGCCAGCCUGGACCAGCUGGACGUGCUGCUGACCUGCAGACAGUGUGACCAGAACUACAGCAACCUGUCGUCCUUCCUGCAGCACCGCCAGUUCUGUGCCUCCCACCCCUCUGCCCAGGCAGAGCCCAGGGAUGCUCCCCGCGCAGCCGAGGGGCGCAAGGUGCUCCCACCAGAGCCCCCCAAACCCCCCGGCCUGGCGCUCUCUCCAGACCCCCAGGGACAUCUGCUGGCACUAAACAAGAGCGAUGACUUCUUGCUGGACGGGGAAGGCAAAAGCGAGGGCAAGGAGGAUGCUCUGAAGGGCGGCCUCUUCCACGGCCUGGCCGCCAGCUCCCUCCCGCUCAGCGCCUCCGACCUGGACAUUGACGAUGCCAAGCUGGACAGCCUGAUCACCGAGGCCCUCAACGGCCUGGGGUACCAGUCUGAUAACCCCGAGAUCGACAGCAGCUUCAUCGACGUCUUCGCCGAUGAGGAGCUGCCGGGCAUGAAGGCGGCUGGCAUGGCCCACAAGGCCAAGGAAGGGCUGGCCUCGGACAGCAAAUCCAAGCAGGCAGCGGAGGAGAAGACAGCAGGAGAGGCCAAGGCUGGCUGUUUGUGUGAAGGUGGGGAACAGGUGAAGAGAGGGGCAGGAAAGCGUCACCGUCACAAAGGGAGGGUGGCACGGAGGGUGGCACCGCAGGAGCCGGAUCCUGGGCCAGAGGGAGCAGAGAGGACAGCCAGGCUGAGGGCAGGCAGGAAGAACAGCAUCCCACCAGCCAGCACCCCCAGGAAACUCGGCCAAGACCCUGCCAAGAACGAGGUGGGGCCAGGCAUGGCCACCAAGAGCUCCAAGCCACCGCGGUUCUCCAUGAAGGACGUGAGGAAGAGGAAGCCCCGAAGCGGGACGUGGAGCAAGGAGCUCAUCCACAAGAUCGUGCAGCAGAAGAACAAGCUCCACAAGCUGCAGGUGAAGAGCAGCAAGCAGGCCCAGGUGCCCCAGGCCACUGAGAGGCCCCUGGCAGCCACCAAGGAGGGCGGGCUGAGGGAAUACGACUACGUGUCUGACUCAGAUGAGGAGGGGGCAGAGUGCAGCAAGCCCCGGGGCAGGAGGAAGCGUGGCACAAGAUUCAUGGGGAGGAGCAGGUACAGCUUCAGCAAGAAACGCCUGGGCAGGAGUGAGAGGGCCAGAGAGAAAGACCCAGCCUGGAGCUACAGCCGGAAAAGGGACGGUCAGAAAAGGGAGGCACGGGAGGACGGGGAUGUCCCGAGUCAGGAGGGUGCUAAGAAAGAGGAUUGUGCUGCCAGAGCCCGAAGGAGGAGCAGCCACUCAUCUGCUGGCAGCAACCACAGCGUGCCCAGGGAGAUGGGCACGAGCCCACCCUGCGCUGGUGGGGCUGGGGACAAGGGUGGCACCCAGAGGAGGAGGCGCUCGGGCAGCCCAGCCCAUGCACCAAGGACUCCCCUCAGCCCUCCCCAGCACAGCAGCCCAAAGACGAGCCAGGAGAGCAAAGAGGACAUGCCCAGGGGGAGCAGGAGGUUUGGCUCAGCCAGACCUUUGCUGGCAGGCUCCAGGACACGGCCCAGUACUGAACCAGAUGUUGCUGCCAUGGACUGUGCAAAGGAGGAGCCGUCACCACAGCCCCAGGAAAAGCAAAUGUCCUGCACGGCCACCCCAGGCAGGAGCCCUGCCAGCUUCUCCUCUAAGGAGGGGCUGGAAGAGCCCAGAGGAGCAGCAAAGCUCCUGGGUGAGGCAGGAGAGCCCACCCUGCAGGCUCAGGGCUCUCCUGAGCUCACCAUGGA